AACGCACAUUGCGCCCGCUAGUAUUCUAGCAGGCAUGCCUGUCCGAGCGUCGUUUCGACCCUCAGACCUCCUCCUUCGGCGGUCUGGUGUUGGGACUUCUACGCUUUAUAGCGUAGGCUCCGAAAUUCAGCGGCGGAUCUGCUGGAACUCCGAACGUAGUAAUUCAACAUCGUUUAAGGCGUUUUAGUAGAUAUUUCUAGCCGUUAAAUUCGCUUAAUAUUUUUUUAGGUCGACCUCGGAUCAGGUAGGAAUACCCGCUGAACUUAA
rnacentral:misc_RNA from 1 species